GAGCACUCAUCAUCUGGAAAUGAAGCACAGGCGCCUCCGACACCCACAUCCAGAAUUUCAGUUAAGCGAGCAAUAGAAGUAAUUCAGUUAUUUGAUGGUUACAAGAUGUGGCUGGUUGCAGAAAUUGGAUUUGGUUGUAUGCUAAAGCUCCCUGUGAUCCAACAACUCAACUUAAAAUUCAGUGCAUGGACAAUUAGUAAGGUCAGUAUUAGGCGUUGCACAAUCAUAUUGACAGAGUCGAACAUUCUAAAGUUUUGGGCCGAAGACGUGCACAAGGUUUUCGGUAUACCAUUUGGGCAUCGAAAUGAUAGAGGACGUGAUGCAUUUAUAAAGCGUGAAGCCAUCCAUUUCAUAAAGAGCGCACUUGGGAUGGACAAGACCGGGGUGCAUAGCCUCCGAGCUGCAGAGAAAUUCCUUCUCCAAGACAUCUUUGAGACAUCUAACUAGCUUGAAAAGGACUGUUUCCAAAUUGCAUUCGUUAUUUUCGUAAUGGGUCAUGUUUUGGCACCAACAACCAAACAUGAUUACACCACUAUAGACUACUGGGAUGCACUUGCCAGCACAGAGACGAUCUCACAAUUCAAUUGGUUUCAGUAUGUACUUGAGUGUCUCCUCGAGGCAGUUCGACAACUUAAGAAGGACAUACGGACAUGUUGA
rnacentral:rRNA from 1 species